rnacentral:rRNA from 1 species
UACAGAGGUCUCAAGCGUUGUUCGGAUUCAUUGGGCGUAAAGGGUGCGUAGGCGGCGCGGUAAGUCGGGUGUGAAAUCUCGGAGCUUAACUCCGAAACUGCAUUCGAUACUGCCGUGCUUGAGGACUGGAGAGGAGACUGGAAUUUACGGUGUAGCGGUGAAAUGCGUAGAUAUCGUAAGGAAGACCAGUGGCGGAAGGCCGGGUCUCUGGACAGUUCCUGACGCUGAGGCACGAAGGCCAGGGGAGGCAAACGGG